GAGUUUGAUCCUGGCUCAGAACGAACGCUGGCGGCAGGCCUAACACAUGCAAGUCGAACGGGCGUAGCAAUACGUCAGUGGCAGACGGGUGAGUAACACGUGGGAACCUACCCGGUGGUACGGAAUAACUCAGGGAAACUUGAGCUAAUACCGAAUACGCCCUUAGGGGGAAAGAUUUAUCGCCAUCGGAAGGGCCCGCGUCGGAUUAGUUUGUUGGUGGGGUAAUGGCCUACCAAGACUACGAUCCGUAGCUGGUCUGAGAGGAUGACCAGCCACACUGGGACUGAGACACGGCCCAGACUCCUACGGGAGGCAGCAGUGGGGAAUCUUGGACAAUGGGCGCAAGCCUGAUCCAGCCAUGCCGCGUGAGUGAAGAAGGCCCUAGGGUUGUAAAGCUCUUUCGGCGGGGACGAUAAUGACGGUACCCGCAGAAGAAGCCCCGGCUAACUCCGUG
rnacentral:rRNA from 1 species